rnacentral:tRNA from 1 species
CCUGGUGGCUCAGCGGUAAAGAAUCUGUCUGCAAUGCAGGAGACCAGGGUUCGAUCCCUGGGUCAGGA